rnacentral:Y_RNA from 1 species
GGAUGGUCUAAAGGUAGAGAAUGAUCUCAAUUGAUUGUUCAUAGUUAGUUCCAGAUAGAAUUUCUUGUUCUGCACUUUUCCCCAUUCUCACUACUGUACUUGACUAGUAA